rnacentral:rRNA from 1 species
AUUGAACGCUGGCGGCAUGCCUUACACAUGCAAGUCGAACGGCAGCACGGGAGCAAUCCUGGUGGCGAGUGGCGAACGGGUGAGUAAUAUAUCGGAACGUGCCCAGUCGUGGGGAUAACGUAGCGAAAGCUACGCUAAUACCGCAUACGAUCUAUGGAUGAAAGCGGGGGAUCGCAAGACCUCGCGCGAUUGGAGCGGCCGAUAUCAGAUUAGGUAGUUGGUGAGGUAAAGGCUCACCAAGCCGACGAUCUGUAGCUGGUCUGAGAGGACGACCAGCCACACUGGGACUGAGACACGGCCCAGACUCCUACGGGAGGCAGCAGUGGGGGAAUAUUGGACAAUGGGCGGAAAGACCUGAUCCAGCAAUGCCGCGUGAGUGAUGAAGGCC